GUGGCUAAACACGCCUCCUUCUUCCUCCCUGGCUUAAAGCUUUGCAUCCCUAUUGCUAAAAUCUCCCGUGAGCUCUGCUGUCCAAACAGGCUGUAAAAGCCAUAAACACCUCUCAUUGUGUCCUCCCAUCUUUUUAACUUCUCUUCAGGCUAAAGCAUUGUUUUUCUUGCAGACUACACCGAAGACUGCUGCCCAGCCAUCACUGCACGUCUGAGCUGCCCUUAAACCCCGCUCCAGAAGCAGAGAGGACAUUCAGGUGUUUUUGAUUUACUUGAGCAAAGAAAAUUGAUGAAGCUUCAUUCUUGUGCUAUUCCCUCUCCACUGACUGGGGAUAUGAAGCUCCUGGAAGGAAGAAAAGACACUGUCAUUUACACGAGAGAACUAGUGGAAGAGGGAAGGGAAGAGCCUCAAGCUGGUGCUGCUGUCUAGCUGUGGGAGUUCAGCAGCAGAACCAGAACCUUGUUAAGUCACCACGGUGUCAGAGAUCUGGAUCUGCACCAGGAACAAAGUGCCCCAAGGCCCACCUGCAUUCCAAGGUACCCAGGCUUGGAGGUGCUUGGUGUUUCAGGAAGCUGCCCUCAAAUAUCUCUGUCCCAGAGUGUUUCUGGGGCUGCAGAGGCU